CUGGGUUAUAAACAGGCCUCGUGCCUGCCACCCGCCCUCUGUCAUUUGCAAUUUUCUUGCUUCGGCCGCUGGUUGCGCGAGCGCGUACGUGCUCGCGGGGUCACGGUCGGUCUCCCAACUCUUUGAAUAUAUUUAUGAUGUCUGAAGAAAUGAUAAACGAAAUACA
rnacentral:misc_RNA from 1 species